GUGGGCUGGGGAAUGGGCUGGGCCAGGGUGGUAAGCCAGUAUUUUCAGCUUUAUGAAGGUGUGUGCAAUAUUGUAUGUGUAGGGCCAUCUGGCUCCUCACAGCCACAAAUGCUAGUCAGGGAUCUUAGAGCCACGGGAGUUCCUUAGGGAUCGCCACUCCCCACAGGUCUUGUGUGAGAAUGGAUAGAGUGUGCCAUUGAGGAAGAAGAAAUUCUUGCCAGUGUCUCCCCCUUACAUUCCAGCUUUAGUGCAAUCUCUGUUGAACUUGGGAAAGCCAGGACAUGUCCUGGCACUGCAAGGGAUAGAAAAAUUCGUGUUGACCGAUGCCCUUACCACGUAUUUUUUUCUGCCUAGACUAAAUGUGGGGUUUGUUGUAAUCCAAGAGUAUCCCUUUGAAGGGUUAGAAGAUGAACUGUAUGUCUUAAAUUGUUUUCUAAGCUUCCAUAUUUGAUAGGAUUUGUAACAUUUAUUUAUAAUUAAUAUUGUACUGUUAUAAUUAUCAUACUUUUAUGUUCUAAUGUAAAGUUAUUUUGAGCUGUUUGGAACAUUGUGAAGCAGUGGGACAGCUACAGUAGUUUCUAUAAAAACUAAACAGUAACAUUUAUAUAUUGCAUCAGGAGUAUUUUAUUCUAUAUAUAUAUAAAUAUAUAUAUGGUAAAUAUCUGUCUGUUUUAUAAAUAUAUUCAUUUAAAGAAAGUAUCGUUAUGACACUAUCUGCCAUAUUUUUAUACAUUUGUGAUAUGAAGUGAGUAUUAUACUUCUAAUAAAGGGAGUUGAAUUGUGGCUACAUGUGACUGUAACAGUAUGAACCUUGCUCAACUUUUCGGCCCCAGCAGUAGCCUCUAGAUGUGAUCCUUGGUAGCAGAUAAUGCAGCAUCUCUUUCCAGACCCACAAGGGAAGAAGGUCAGCUAGGCCAGUGAAGAUUCCAGCAGGCCUCGUUUCCGCCCUCACACACUUGGCUCCCAUUUGUGUCCAGGGAUGUUACUUGGACACAAGGGGGGGAACCAGACAGAGGUGUUGCUCAUGGGUCUUUGUAGAGAGAAUGUGCUCUUCCACUAAGCAUUAGUGUAGAGCGUAGACCAAAGAUUCGCCAGCAAACAUUCCUUGUUGUGAGGUUGUAAGAGGCACCUGUCUGCAGAUCUUGCAAACCAGCUCUAUGCUCCUGAAUACCGCCCGCCCUCCUGGAGACUCUUGGCUCUAGCUGCGGUGUGAGAUGCGUGUGUGGCAUUUCUCCUUCUAACCUCUUUUUUCAUUAUUGCUUUUCCCGAUGUAUUUAAAAGGCUCCUGAAGCAAUUCCAGUUGUAGAGAAAAUCUCUCUAUAAAUGGAUGCUAUAUCCAUUUUUUCUUCCUGGGACUGUCCAUUUAUAACAAGGUCAUCAUGCACACCUGUAUAUACACCCUUCCCUCCAUCAGAACAGGACCUAUCUUGCUCUCAUUUGAUCACUUCAAUUCCCAAGUUACUCGCAAGUACCAUUAAGGCCUUUGGCCAGCAAGUGUUAAUCCCCCGUAUCUCCAGGCCAUCCUUGACAGAAAUCACCUCAACACCAUCAUCUAUCAGUAGUAGUAGACUUUUGGAAGUAGUCUCUUAGCAAUAAGACUUUUAGAGGUCCCUCCCACCCCUCAAAGAGGUAACUUCUCAGUAUUUAUUACUCGCUCCAGGAUUAUGAGAGUGUCAGCCCUUGAAUCAAGUCAGCUCUCUUUGAAAUAUGCUGAAUUCCCGUUAACCCUCCCCCAAGAUUUUUAGAAUCCUAGCUCUGAUGAUUAUGAAGAUUAUAAAGAGAAAGGUCUUAGAAUCUCUGAAGCUUAAAAUGUGUGCAUAUUGCAUUUUUAUAUAAAUAUUAUAAUGAUGUGUAUUGAUUAUAUAUAGAGAGAGGUCAUUUUAAGGUGCUUUUUAUUUAAUUGUAGUAAGUGUAAUAGGCACUAAAAUGAAACUCAACUGGGUACUAUCAUUGAAACAAUUUGAUUCAAAUAAAUAGUUUUUGCAUGUUCUCAAGUUCCUUUUCUAUCUCCUUUCUAUGACCAGUUCAAUACUGGUUGGGUAGCUCUGAAUUCUGGCUUUCCCCAGGCAGCUGCUUGGUUAUACAUGUGGGGUAGACCCUCAGCAGUUUAUGCCUGGAUACAAUGACUCUACAAAGGUGUAUAUUUAACACUUCUUUUCGUACUAGAUCUGUACCUUGUAUCCCCCCUUGCAAACCAGAAACUACGUUUUUUCUUCUGGAAAGACUUCUCACUGUGCUGUGCGCUUAGGAACUGCGCAGUCCCGUUGCCAUACUAUGGCAUUCGAGGCUCGUCGUCACCUAGGGGCUGGUUUCCCAUGUUGUCAUCCUUGCUAACACUGGGAUCUCAGAUGUUUGCAGAACAUUUAUAUUCUCGAUGGUUCUUCAAAGAAGGGCUAGAAUAAUUGCCUUCUACCUAGAACAAACUAAACCUAAAUGAUGAAGAGUCAAUAUGUACUUUUUCGUACAUUCCCAGAUUUGAGCCAGAAAAUAGCUACAAUGUUUUCAACUAGUGUUUUUGAGGUAGCUCUUUUAUCCUCUUCUCAGCUUUUGUCCUUUCCCACUUUUCAUCGAUCCUUAAUAAGCUGUAAGUGAACCUACAUUGCAUUUCUAGCAUGUCAUUCUUUUCCUGUUUGGGGGGUGGGUGGGAGUAAAGUCUUCUUUUGGAUCUAAUGGGUCCUCUCUCAGCUUCUAACUGUUGCUUUCACCUCUGGUUGAUGAGAAAUUACUAACCUCACAAAGAUUGCCAUCCAUAGUGGGAAGGACUUGACUUAAGUCACAAAAAUUUGCAUUUUCUUUAGGAAGGGGAAUUUAUGACAUCCACGUUCUGUUAUCUGCCCUAACUUCCUAAAGAAUACAUAGGUUGAAUGAAGGUUUGUGAAUUACUUUUGUGUUUUGGAAGUAUCACUAAUCUCCUUUUGGAAAAAAAAAAAAAAACAAACUUAGCUUCUCUUUUUCUACUUUGACUUCUCUGCCAUUCUUCUUUUUCUUCUCUAAAGUUCUAAGUGAACUUGAACUGAGCCUUGUUCAGUCUUGACUGAAGUUUAGCCUCUCUCCAUAACCCAAGACUAAAAGGGAGUUCUCCGCGCCAAGGGGCUCAAGUGAGCUAUCUCCAGAGCAAGUGCUUCUCAACCAGGGGCAAUUUUGCCCCCACAGGGCACACUUGGCGAUGUCUGGAGACAUUUGGGUAUCACUCCUCUGUGGGGGUUACUACUGGCAUCUAGUGAGUAGAGGCCAGAAAUACUUGUAACCAUCCUGCAGUGCACAGGACAGUCCCCCAAAUAAAGAACAAUCCAGCCUCAGCUGUCACUGGUGGUGAGGUUGAGAAACCCUGCCCAACACCAUUCCAGCCCUGUCUGUAGAGCUUGGCUCUGGCCUUGUUCUUUCCAGGCUACAGAACUGCAGGAAUGAAUCUUCUACCACAAUUCUUGAGUCCUUGGAAUCCUGUUGUUUGUUUCCAUUGUCUUGGGCCUGCUAAAAGGUGCACACUUUGGGAGGAAGCCAGAGUUACUUUAUAUGUGUUUGAGAAAUUAAAUUCUAGGUUAGCAUCCUUAGAAAAUCUUUCAUAGAGCCAUGAGGCUUAUAUUUAGAAGCAAGCAACAGCCUGGCAGAUUGGCAUGAUUUUUACCAACUGCUCAAAGGCACCCAUGGCUUUUAGCUGUGUCUACCGAAAGAAAAUGUCUUUGUUUUUUAAUCAAGUUAUUUAAUAGCUCUUUACAAAUAUUAGCAUAUGACAGACCGAUUAAAAGCAAAAAAAAAAAACAAAAAAAAACUCUUUAUUGGUGGUUGUGAUGUGGCUAUUAUAGAAGUAUUUGUGCUGUGUAUGCUUUGGUUGAAUCUGUUUUAAAACAUGCUUUAAGACUCACCAUAUGCAAUUGUAUACUUUAACUCUAAGCUCAGAGCUAUGCUGGUCAGUCUCUAGUCACGUUGUGUAUUAUAAAGUAUGUUGUGGUUGUAGAGUUAGCCAGUUUAGCAUGUUCCUAAUCUGAAAAUUAGUGGACUACACUAGGAAAUGCUGUCCCAUUUUUCCCUUCCCAGCACCUCUUAGUUGAUAUCAUAGUAUCCUCACUUCUUAAACUAGUUUUUAGAGUAAAUAAGGAAAAAAGCCAUUUAUUUUAUUCUAGCCAUGUAUUGAGAAUGACUCAUUAAGUGUACAACUUUUUUUUCAAAGGCCAGAGGAUUACUUUUCAUGUGUGUAGAAGGCUCUGUCCACUUCUGUAUCUCUGGAUCCCAGUGGUGACAGAACUCUUUUUGGCAAGGGCAAUAAGAAGCUCAUCCUGAGUCGCCACUGGAGCCCAGUUGGGACUCAAAAAACCUGCAUUAUCUCUCAAGCGCCAACCUGUUUGCUGGAGAGCAUUGCUUUUCUAUCUGGAAGUUCAUUGUCUCCUGCCCAAGUGGGAUACUGAACUCUAUGCAGGUACAAAGAUCCACAGGCUCAUACUUGUGUGAACCAGGAUCGUGGUUUUGUUGAACUAACAAGCCAGAAAACAGUGGGCUAUUUCCUUGCCUCCUUCAAUUCCUCACUAAUAAAGUAUGUAGACAGAGAAAACUUAUUUAUGGUUUAAGAAAUAACAAUUCUGGUUUCUUUGAAAGAGACUGCAGAAAAACAGUAUCAAUGUUGAAAAUGUCCUAUCACUAAUAACCAGGACCAGAAUCUCACAAGAGGUCUUUGCAGAGAUUUAAAAGGCCAGCUUAGGGUUGGGCUGUAUCUCAGUGGUAGAGCACUUUUCUAGUAUGUGUGAGGCCCUGGAUUUGAUCCUUAGCACUCAAAAAAUUUUUUCAAAUAAAAAAUAAACAAGAGGUCAGCUUACCAGAAACAGGCAAACAAACAAACCUUUAAAUGGUUAUGGUUUCUUCUUUUUGCCUCAUGAUCAGCUGAGAUAUAGAAUAUCUUGAGGUCUGGUUCAGCUGAGUAAAAAAUUCUUCUUGAAAACCAUGAGUAAGAAGCCAUGAAAGAAAAUGACCGUCUCUCAUCUGUCUGCAUCACAGAAUGGGGGAGAAGUCAGGUGUCUAGGAAACUCUGGGCCUAUUGCCCCGUGUGAUUCUUUUUUCUUUCUUUCUUUCUUUUCUUCUUCUUUUUUCUUCUUAAUUGAAUGUACUAUACAAGAUGGUAGACUUUUGUGCGAGCCAGUUACUACAGGAGUCUUCAUUUCCCACAGUGCUUUGGUAAUUCAUCAGCGUUAGGCCUGGUCCCACUCCACCUUUCUCUUCUCCAGGCACUGACCCACCUUUCUGCGUAUUUACUGUAGGCUAUUAAAUAUGAUCUUGACCUGCCUUGCAUUUUCAUUCUUCAACUGUUCACUCCCAAAUUUAAGGGAGUGUUGUCUCUUGUAUUGCCAGAAAAAAUUUGUCACAGUCUGCACGCUAGAUUUGUAGGGCCAGCAGAACUGCGGCAGUGAAACUGGUGUCACUUCCGAGGCCCUUCAUGUCCCACAAGGGUAAGCUCUUUACACCCCCUUUGAUCCUUGGUCAUAUUUGAUCCUCCUUGGGAAUCUGAAAUCGGUCUCCGUGUUGUAUGCAGAAUAGAAGUUGCCUUGUUCGCUGCUCUUCCCAUGCAGAGUAUCAGGGAGAAAGAGGCCUUAUCUGUCCCUCCAUCCCCCCCUCUGUUUUGACAGACUGCUGAGAAUCCCUCAGGACUUCCUUUGGUUGGGGAUUUCACUUCCCAGAAGGCUGAUGUGAUUCAUUUCAGACGUAGACAAGUUUGUCCUAAUACUCUGCUUCAGGUCUAAUCAGAGGAAACCCAGGAAUAGAAAAGGUAGAUGCCUUGACUUUUGUCCCUGUUGGGGGAUUAAAGUGUUUAUUGCCAGAGUUAUCAAAAGCUCUGGUUAAAUUCUGUACAGUUUCAUGAGAAAAAUGAUGCUUUUCCUCCUGGAGAAUGUGUAAGUUCUCCAUAAUAGCUUCGCUUUUCCAAAAUGGAAAGCAAAGCUUGCAGAAAACCCAUUUUCCCUAGGGAUCAAUAAUCGGUUUCUAGUCGCCAGUCUCGGUCCCUCUCCUUUGUUACUCUUUGGUCACCGAUUGAGUCAGGCCAGAGGGGUGAUGGAAAGAAGUGAAUUCUUACUGUAAACUUGCAUUGAUUAACAGAAACAAUGAAGCCAAACAAAAUAGUUGCCCCAGAUUCCUAUCUCCAAGAAUUGCUUUGUGCCAUUCUGAAUUCAGGUAGUUAUUCUGUAUAUACUUAGACAACUAUUCAGAGCUUCUUCAAUCUCUAGUAAGUUUGAAGGGAGUAUCUGGGAAGACACAGGGCAGGGUGAUGUUGAGACCCUGUUCAUUCUUAAAAAUAGGGAUAAGCCAGAGGGAUGUGAUAUCCAAUUUGUGGUAGAUGAAGAAUCAGUGGAAAUUCUUAAUUGCACAGACUUUAUAAUUCAUUAUAUAAAUUGUAAUUCCAUACUUUUUACUGUGGCAAGGGUGUGAUGUGGUUGUUAAAUCUUUUUAAUUUUUGAAUCCAAACUGAAUUUAAAGUGUUGAAUACUUAAAUUCCUCACAAGCUAAUUAUGAACCAUUUGUAAAGUGUUUCUAUAACUCUUUGUAUCAUGUGUUGGUACAUCUUAUCAAGUUUUUUCUGGCAUGUAUUCCAUUCUAAACUUCUGUAAAAUUUCUAUUGUUGCUGUAAAUAAUUAUACAAAUAUCUACUCCGUGGUAACCUACAUUAUCAGCAUGAAAUGGUUAAUUUUUACUGAGCACAAUGUAUUUUUGAAUGGAUCUUCCCAAAUGUCUUUAAUAAAAUGCAGAUUUUGCACUGACUGAUGUGACUGCCAGGCCGUCCCAAUCUUGAGCACUAUGGUCCUUCUUGCAUUUGAACAGCGAGCAGCUCGGUUUUAGUUCCUUCUUUGUAUAUAUAUAUAAAAAAAAUUUUUUUAAAAAGCAUUUGAAUUCAAAUGAGGGAUAAUGGGCCUUUGAAGUUGUAAUCAGUUUAAGGGAGAGAAAUUAAUGUAAAGCAAGGCAAAUCCUAUUAUUUAAUGAUGUUGAUUUUUUUUUUCUUUUCUAUUUAUAAAGUUCUUUCCCCCUAUGGCAUUUUGAAAACUUUGGUUUCUUUUACACUUGAGUGUUGUCACUUGUAAUGCAUUGCUAGAAGCUCACUCGGUGGUUUGAGGAGGAUGGGAAGAGAUGCCAACCUCGUGCUCAGUGCUGUGGAGAAAGCAAAGAUGAACAGCUCCAUGAGGUUUCUUCUUGUGGUAGAGCAGGGGUCAGCAAACUUUUAAUGUUAAGGGCCAGAUGGUAAAUAUUGGCCUUGAACAUUCUUUUGGUUUUGCCUCUACUCAUACUCAACUCUGCCCUUGUAGUGCAAAAGCAGCUAUAGGAUAUGUAAAUGAGUGAGCAUGGCUGUGUUCAGAUAGAACUUUAUUUAAAAAAAAAAAAAAACAGGCCAGAGUUUAUUGACACUUUUGUGGUUUAGGGAAAGAAGACCUACUGAGUCAUGCUCAGUCAGAGAAGCAAGAACUUAAAUUUUGUGGUAACUUAUGUAUAAAAUAUUCUCCAGUUUUAUCUUUGUAAACAAAGAGUAGGAGCUAAUACUAAGUGCUUUGUAUUCUUAGAAAGCACUGUCAAAACAAGCGAAAAAAGGCACUGUGUCAACCAGUUCUUUACUCUGUGUCCUUAAGUGGCAUGGAAACUGUGGCCUGUGGUUUCAGCUAUACUAACACUGUAUCAAGUAUCUGGGCAUUUUUUUAUGUUCAUAGCACAGUGCCGUGUGUUAUAUUGUUACAUUUGCUUUAAAUAACAACCCAGUGGAGCAGAUACUAUUAUUAUCUCCAUUUUGUAGGUUUUCAUACUUUGUGUUAUCUUGCUCAAGGUCACCCAGUUUGGAAGUGGCGCGCCUAGGAUUUGAGGCUGAAUAUGUUAACCAUAAGGCCUGUACCCUUAACCACUAGUAAAUGGUGCAGCCACUGCAUCUCCAUGUAUAGCACUGACAUCAAGUUUAAUGGUGGUCCCAUUCAGAUAUCGUUUUCCCUUUAGUAAUUCUGGUUUAUUCAAUUAACUCCAAAGUCCAGAUUUUCAAAAACAAUUUCCAACAUAGAUCAUGUAAAAAUAUUUGCCUGGAGGAAUUUCAGGUGCAAAAAUAAAUACAACUUAGUUAAAUGAAGGAAAAGGGUAACACAUUUGGGAGCUGGGGAUGUAGCUCAGUGGUAGAGCACUUACCUGGUGCGUAUGAGGCCCUGGGUUCAAUUCCCAGCACCCCCAAAAUGAAAAUGCGGGGGGGGGGACUAACACAUUUAGAAAAAGCUAUUUAUAUUGAUACGUAAGUAUACUAAUUGGAGCAGGUAAUAAUGAAUCCUCAUGUCUAAUUUUUUUUUUUUUUCCUGUACUGGGGAUUGAACCCAAGGGCCUUUUACCACUGAACUACAUUCACAACUCUCUCUUAUUUUUUAUUUUGAGACAGAUUUUCUCUAAGUUGCUUAGGCCCUUGCUAAGGCUAGCCUUAAGGAUAGCCUUGUUGAGGCUAUCCUCAAACUUGCCAUCUUCCUGUCUCAGCCUCCUGAAUCUCUGGGCUUAUAAGGGUGUACCACCACACCCAAUUUAACAAUGUUUUUUUUUUUUUAAUUGUAGAUGUACACAGUACUAUUUAUUUUUAUGGGUGCUGAGGAUCGAACCCAGUGCCUCACAUAUGCUGGGAAAGCGCUCUGCCACUGAGCUCUAACUGUAGCCCCAACAAUUUAUGUACCACCUUCCAUCCCAUGUCUUGCAGCAGGUCGCAAGUGAUUUGAUUUGGGAAUGGAACUUUUCAUUGAAGUGGUUCAAAGCCCAGGAUCUACAAUCAGUUUGCCUGAGUGGAGUCCUGGCUUCAUGAACUAAAUUUCCCAUGACUUGAGGCAAGAUAAAUGUAGCUUCCCUAUGCUUUGGUUUCCUUACCUUUAAAUGGAGACAAUCAUGGUACCUACUUCAGAGGGUUGUUGUGAGCAUCUAAUGAGAUACUACAAAGCACUCUAUAGAAUUUCAAUAAAUGCUAGCUAUUGUAACAUUAUUGCUAUUAUUUGUGUCCCAGUUGGUGAACUGAGAAAGAAUGUCACUGGAUGGCUGCCAAGCACUUGCGAUACAUGUAUCUUAUUUGAUCUUCCUAUCAGCCCUCAAAGGUGGUGGUAGCCAAGAAAGGCCAGCUUGGAACCAUUCUUGGGAUCACAGGGAAAGCAGCAGCCCUUGUAAGCUGUUGUCAGCAGGCUUCAGCAACCACAUCAGUGAACAGAGGCAGGCUUCUGUCGGCAUUUGUUCAAAGGCUCACUUUUAGGGGUGCAGUCUUCUUGGCUCUGAGAAUAGAUUCAUACCAGUACCUCUAUCUUGAAAUACCUUUGCUUUGUCCAAGUAACCUCCUCCCACACCGAGUACUAGAAUCAGCUCAGAUUUUUUUUUCUUAAUAUUGGCAACACUUAAUGCUACUUCUCUGUUCAUAACAUUUCAUUUAAUUAUUUAAAAUCUGCAAAAAUGUUGUGUAUAUUUUACCACAUUUUUUAAAAGUCCCCAAGUGUAGACCACACUCUAGCAUUUCUAAAAAUAAAAAUAAACAUGUUAAAAUAAAGUAAGAGUGCGUUUUUACUGCAUUAUGUAUUUUUAAUUGAAAGUUUCCCC
rnacentral:tRNA from 1 species